rnacentral:rRNA from 1 species
UACGUAGGGGGCAAGCGUUGUCCGGAUUUAUUGGGCGUAAAGAGCGUGUAGGCGGCCUGGAAGGUCAGCUGUGAAAACUCGAGGCUCAACCUCGAGACGUCGGUUGAAACCACCUGGCUAGAGUCCGGAAGAGGAGAGUGGAAUUCCCGGUGUAGCGGUGAAAUGCGCAGAUAUCGGGAAGAACACCCGUGGCGAAGGCGGCUCUCUGGGACGGUACUGA